rnacentral:sRNA from 1 species
UGAUAACGCCAGAGAAUGAAGGUCUCUGUGUAGCCUUAAGGAACAGAUACAGCAUGGGUAGCAGCAGUGCAAGAUUCUUCCACACAUCCCUGUCAACGGGCCUGGAGCCGUCACCUCUAGGUGAGAAGCUAUUUCAGUCUUCAUGCUCCCGUCAUCUUGGGACUCU